CUGGCUCAGGACGAACGCUGGCGGCGUGCCUAAUACAUGCAAGUCGAGCGAGCGGAACUAACAGAUUUACUUCGGUAAUGACGUUAGGAAAGCGAGCGGCGGAUGGGUGAGUAACACGUGGGGAACCUGCCCCAUAGUCUGGGAUACCACUUGGAAACAGGUGCUAAUACCGGAUAAGAAAGCAGAUCGCAUGAUCAGCUUUUAAAAGGCGGCGUAAGCUGUCGCUAUGGGAUGGCCCCGCGGUGCAUUAGCUAGUUGGUAAGGUAAAGGCUUACCAAGGCGAUGAUGCAUAGCCGAGUUGAGAGACUGAUCGGCCACAUUGGGACUGAGACACGGCCCAAACUCCUACGGGAGGCAGCAGUAGGGAAUCUUCCACAAUGGACGCAAGUCUGAUGGAGCAACGCCGCGUGAGUGAAGAAGGUUUUCGGAUCGUAAAGCUCUGUUGUUGGUGAAGAAGGAUAGAGGUAGUAACUGGCCUUUAUUUGACGGUAAUCAACCAGAAAGUCACGGCUAACUACGUGCCAGCAGCCGCGGUAAUACGUAGGUGGCGAGCGUUGUCCGGAUUUAUUGGGCGUAAAGCGAGCGCAGGCGGAAGAGUAAGUCUGAUGUGAAAGCCCUCGGCUUAACCGAGGAACUGCAUCGGAAABUGUUUUUCUUGAGUGCAGAAGAGGAGAGUGGAACUCCAUGUGUA
rnacentral:rRNA from 1 species